AGAGUUUGAUCCUGGCUCAGGAUGAACGCUGGCGGCGUGCCUAAUACAUGCAAGUCGAGCGAACGGACGAGAAGCUUGCUUCUCUGAUGUUAGCGGCGGACGGGUGAGUAACACGUGGAUAACCUACCUAUAAGACUGGGAUAACUUCGGGAAACCGGAGCUAAUGCCGGAUAAUAUUUUGAACCGCAUGGUUCAAAAGUGAAAGACGGUCUUGCUGUCACUUAUAGAUGGAUCCGCGCUGCAUUAGCUAGUUGGUAAGGUAACGGCUUACCAAGGCAACGAUGCAUAGCCGACCUGAGAGGGUGAUCGGCCACACUGGAACUGAGACACGGUCCAGACUCCUACGGGAGGCAGCAGUAGGGAAUCUUCCGCAAUGGGCGAAAGCCUGACGGAGCAACGCCGCGUGAGUGAUGAAGGUCUUCGGAUCGUAAAACUCUGUUAUUAGGGAAGAACAUAUGUGUAAGUAACUGUGCACAUCUUGACGGUACCUAAUCAGAAAGCCACGGCUAACUACGUGCCAGCAGCCGCGGUAAUACGUAGGUGGCAAGCGUUAUCCGGAAUUAUUGGGCGUAAAGCGCGCGUAGGCGGUUUUUUAAGUCUGAUGUGAAAGCCCACGGCUCAACCGUGGAGGGUCAUUGGAAACUGGAAAACUUGAGUGCAGAAGAGGAAAGUGGAAUUCCAUGUGUAGCGGUGAAAUGCGCAGAGAUAUGGAGGAACACCAGUGGCGAAGGCGACUUUCUGGUCUGUAACUGACGCUGAUGUGCGAAAGCGUGGGGAUCAAACAGGAUUAGAUACCCUGGUAGUCCACGCCGUAAACGAUGAGUGCUAAGUGUUAGGGGGUUUCCGCCCCUUAGUGCUGCAGCUAACGCAUUAAGCACUCCGCCUGGGGAGUACGACCGCAAGGUUGAAACUCAAAGGAAUUGACGGGGACCCGCACAAGCGGUGGAGCAUGUGGUUUAAUUCGAAGCAACGCGAAGAACCUUACCAAAUCUUGACAUCCUUUGACAACUCUAGAGAUAGAGCCUUCCCCUUCGGGGGACAAAGUGACAGGUGGUGCAUGGUUGUCGUCAGCUCGUGUCGUGAGAUGUUGGGUUAAGUCCCGCAACGAGCGCAACCCUUAAGCUUAGUUGCCAUCAUUAAGUUGGGCACUCUAAGUUGACUGCCGGUGACAAACCGGAGGAAGGUGGGGAUGACGUCAAAUCAUCAUGCCCCUUAUGAUUUGGGCUACACACGUGCUACAAUGGACAAUACAAAGGGCAGCGAAACCGCGAGGUCAAGCAAAUCCCAUAAAGUUGUUCUCAGUUCGGAUUGUAGUCUGCAACUCGACUACAUGAAGCUGGAAUCGCUAGUAAUCGUAGAUCAGCAUGCUACGGUGAAUACGUUCCCGGGUCUUGUACACACCGCCCGUCACACCACGAGAGUUUGUAACACCCGAAGCCGGUGGAGUAACCUUUUAGGAGCUAGCCGUCGAAGGUGGGACAAAUGAUUGGGGUGAAGUCGUAACAAGGUAGCCGUAUCGGAAGGUGCGGCUG
rnacentral:rRNA from 1 species